AUGCUAGUUAUCUACUUAUGGAUUAAAUUAGUUGAAAAAUUGCCUAUUUUCUCAGCACCAUUAUCUUAUCCAGAGGAACGCCCGAGUGUUGUGUACCCAACAACGCCAUCCCCCAGACAUCAGGAAUAUUACGAGGAGUACACACCAGAGGAGUACUUCGAGCCGGACGAGGAGGCCACGGUGUGCAUUGGGAAUCUACCGUAUGACAUUGACAAGAAGGACCUUGCCCUGCUCUUCAAGGAUGUUGGCAUCGUCAUGUUUUCGGAGAUCAUUUAUGACAGGGAAACAGGCGAGAGCUGUGGAUAUGGGUUUGUCACCAUGAGUACUGCUGAGGAGGCCAAGAAGGCUGUGGAGAUGUACAAUCGCCGUGAGAUGGACGGCAGGCCCCUGACUGUGUACAAGACAGCUGCUACCAGAGGUGCCCAGACAGAAGAAACGCCGUCUCCCCACCCCUGUCGAUCAGAGUCUUCUUCGUUCAAGAUCUAUGUGGACAAUCUUCCCUGGAAAGUGAGCAACUCAAACCUGAAGCAGCUGUUCAGUGACUAUGGUGAAGUGGUCGGUGCCAAAGUUGUUUACCACCGCGGAAGAGAAGCCGGGCGCUCCCCAUUCGGUUUUGUCACGAUGGCGACGCGGCAGGAAUCGGAGAAUGCCAUUUGGCACCUCAACAAGCAGGUCAGUCAGUGCGUGGUCUGGUUGGUUGCCAGUCAAUUGUUGUACGAGCAGAUGAAGCAGAUUUGGUUUUACUGA
rnacentral:rRNA from 1 species